GUUGUUGUUGCUCAGGUUGAAAUUAAUGGAUUUCUUACCAACUCUAAGGCUGCUUUAAUAUUUAUUGGUUGCUAGGAGUUAGUGGUCACUCACUUUUGGAUCCUGCAGGGAGCCAAGCCAGCAGUAGUGGUGAGAUUGUGUGUGGGUGCAUAGAAUUCCUCUUCACUUUAAACGCCAUAAAAAAAAUAGCGUCUUUUAUCAAACAGGUUACAUCCAGCUUUAUUUUAAUUUCUUGUGAAUUAAGUUAACCUAGUAUUAAAUGCGAGGAGAAGUGGGACAAGGAUUAGUGCAGACAGACAGUGAAACAGUGAGUGGUGAAGAGGAUGGCUUGGCUAGCUGGGUGGGUGCAGGGGAGAGGGACAGUUACUGAGCACAUAUGGGAAAGGGCUGAGCUUUGAGGUUCGUGCUGUGCCAGACACCUUUUUUCUGUGCUGUAAAUGGCUUUGAUCAUAGCAGCAGCAAUGGUUUAUUACACCUAGCUGGAGGUGGAGCUACUGCCAAGUGUUCAUCCCAUGGUUGUGCAGGCUUAUUAUUGGUUUGGGUGCCAUUUUUCCCGAUGAAUAGGGCGAGGGUUUUUUUUAUUUAUUAUUUUUCUUUUUUUAGAAAAAAAAAAUGGAAGAGAUUGGGUCUUGUUAGCAAUGGAGAAUUAAAAAUUGGAGCUCCCUUUUGUUUUUGUAAAAUUUAGUUUCCACUUUGUCAGGUGUGAUUAGAAUAAAAGGUUGAAAGAAGACUAUUAGUUUCAAUUUGUAGUAAUGUAAUUACUAAUUUAAGUAGUUCACUUUCACUAAAAAAAAG
rnacentral:lncRNA from 1 species